AGCGUACACGGUGGAUGCCCUGGCAGUCAGAGGCGAUGAAGGACGUGCUAAUCUGCGAUAAGCGUCGGUAAGGUGAUAUGAACCGUUAUAACCGGCGAUUUCCGAAUGGGGAAACCCAGUGUGUUUCGACACACUAUCAUUAACUGAAUCCAUAGGUUAAUGAGGCGAACCGGGGGAACUGAAACAUCUAAGUACCCCGAGGAAAAGAAAUCAACCGAGAUUCCCCCAGUAGCGGCGAGCGAACGGGGAGCAGCCCAGAGCCUGAAUCAGUGUGUGUGUUAGUGGAAGCGUCUGGAAAGGCGCGCGAUACAGGGUGACAGCCCCGUACACAAAAAUGCACAUGCUGUGAGCUCGAUGAGUAGGGCGGGACACGUGGUAUCCUGUCUGAAUAUGGGGGGACCAUCCUCCAAGGCUAAAUACUCCUGACUGACCGAUAGUGAACCAGUACCGUGAGGGAAAGGCGAAAAGAACCCCGGCGAGGGGAGUGAAAAAGAACCUGAAACCGUGUACGUACAAGCAGUGGGAGCCUCUUUUAUGGGGUGACUGCGUACCUUUUGUAUAAUGGGUCAGCGACUUAUAUUCUGUAGCAAGGUUAACCGAAUAGGGGAGCCGAAGGGAAACCGAGUCUUAACUGGGCGUUAAGUUGCAGGGUAUAGACCCGAAACCCGGUGAUCUAGCCAUGGGCAGGUUGAAGGUUGGGUAACACUAACUGGAGGACCGAACCGACUAAUGUUGAAAAAUUAGCGGAUGACUUGUGGCUGGGGGUGAAAGGCCAAUCAAACCGGGAGAUAGCUGGUUCUCCCCGAAAGCUAUUUAGGUAGCGCCUCGUGAAUUCAUCUCCGGGGGUAGAGCACUGUUUCGGCAAGGGGGUCAUCCCGACUUACCAACCCGAUGCAAACUGCGAAUACCGGAGAAUGUUAUCACGGGAGACACACGGCGGGUGCUAACGUCCGUCGUGAAGAGGGAAACAACCCAGACCGCCAGCUAAGGUCCCAAAGUCAUGGUUAAGUGGGAAACGAUGUGGGAAGGCCCAGACAGCCAGGAUGUUGGCUUAGAAGCAGCCAUCAUUUAAAGAAAGCGUAAUAGCUCACUGGUCGAGUCGGCCUGCGCGGAAGAUGUAACGGGGCUAAACCAUGCACCGAAGCUGCGGCAGCGACGCUGAUGCGUUGUUGGGUAGGGGAGCGUUCUGUAAGCCUGCGAAGGUGUGCUGUGAGGCAUGCUGGAGGUAUCAGAAGUGCGAAUGCUGACAUAAGUAACGAUAAAGCGGGUGAAAAGCCCGCUCGCCGGAAGACCAAGGGUUCCUGUCCAACGUUAAUCGGGGCAGGGUGAGUCGACCCCUAAGGCGAGGCCGAAAGGCGUAGUCGAUGGGAAACAGGUUAAUAUUCCUGUACUUGGUGUUACUGCGAAGGGGGGACGGAGAAGGCUAUGUUGGCCGGGCGACGGUUGUCCCGGUUUAAGCGUGUAGGCUGGUUUUCCAGGCAAAUCCGGAAAAUCAAGGCUGAGGCGUGAUGACGAGGCACUACGGUGCUGAAGCAACAAAUGCCCUGCUUCCAGGAAAAGCCUCUAAGCAUCAGGUAACAUCAAAUCGUACCCCAAACCGACACAGGUGGUCAGGUAGAGAAUACCAAGGCGCUUGAGAGAACUCGGGUGAAGGAACUAGGCAAAAUGGUGCCGUAACUUCGGGAGAAGGCACGCUGAUAUGUAGGUGAAGUCCCUCGCGGAUGGAGCUGAAAUCAGUCGAAGAUACCAGCUGGCUGCAACUGUUUAUUAAAAACACAGCACUGUGCAAACACGAAAGUGGACGUAUACGGUGUGACGCCUGCCCGGUGCCGGAAGGUUAAUUGAUGGGGUCAGCGCAAGCGAAGCUCUUGAUCGAAGCCCCGGUAAACGGCGGCCGUAACUAUAACGGUCCUAAGGUAGCGAAAUUCCUUGUCGGGUAAGUUCCGACCUGCACGAAUGGCGUAAUGAUGGCCAGGCUGUCUCCACCCGAGACUCAGUGAAAUUGAACUCGCUGUGAAGAUGCAGUGUACCCGCGGCAAGACGGAAAGACCCCGUGAACCUUUACUAUAGCUUGACACUGAACAUUGAGCCUUGAUGUGUAGGAUAGGUGGGAGGCUUUGAAGUGUGGACGCCAGUCUGCAUGGAGCCGACCUUGAAAUACCACCCUUUAAUGUUUGAUGUUCUAACGUGGACCCGUAAUCCGGGUUGCGGACAGUGUCUGGUGGGUAGUUUGACUGGGGCGGUCUCCUCCUAAAGAGUAACGGAGGAGCACGAAGGUUGGCUAAUCCUGGUCGGACAUCAGGAGGUUAGUGCAAUGGCAUAAGCCAGCUUGACUGCGAGCGUGACGGCGCGAGCAGGUGCGAAAGCAGGUCAUAGUGAUCCGGUGGUUCUGAAUGGAAGGGCCAUCGCUCAACGGAUAAAAGGUACUCCGGGGAUAACAGGCUGAUACCGCCCAAGAGUUCAUAUCGACGGCGGUGUUUGGCACCUCGAUGUCGGCUCAUCACAUCCUGGGGCUGAAGUAGGUCCCAAGGGUAUGGCUGUUCGCCAUUUAAAGUGGUACGCGAGCUGGGUUUAGAACGUCGUGAGACAGUUCGGUCCCUAUCUGCCGUGGGCGCUGGAGAACUGAGGGGGGCUGCUCCUAGUACGAGAGGACCGGAGUGGACGCAUCACUGGUGUUCGGGUUGUCAUGCCAAUGGCACUGCCCGGUAGCUAAAUGCGGAAGAGAUAAGUGCUGAAAGCAUCUAAGCACGAAACUUGCCCCGAGAUGAGUUCUCCCUGACUCCUUGA
rnacentral:rRNA from 1 species